rnacentral:tRNA from 1 species
GGGGUUGUGGCUCAGCAGUAGAGUACUUGCCUAGUAUGUGUGAGGCACUGAGUUUGAUCCUCAGCAACCCAU